CCCUUAGAUGUUCUGGGCCGCACGCGCGCUACACUGAUGCAUUCAACGAGUUUCUUCCUGGUCCGAGAGGAAUGGGUAACCUUUUGAAAGUGCAUCGUGAUAGGGAUAGACUAUUGCAAUUAUUGGUCUUCAACGAGGAAUUCCUAGUAGACGUAGUUCAUCAGACUGCAUCGAUUACGUCCCUGCCCUUUGUACACACCGCCCGUCGCUCCUACCGAUUGGGUGAGCCGAUGAAACUCUCGGAUGUAGGCUAUUCAUAGCCCGCAGAAGAGAUUUGAAUCGUAGCGCUUAGAGGAAGGAGAAGUCGUAACA
rnacentral:rRNA from 1 species